rnacentral:sRNA from 1 species
ACACAAGGGUCAAAUAGAUAUGCUUUUCAUGCUUGCAUGAAAAAGCAUAUCGACUUGACCCGCAAAACACCGAAAAGGAGCCAUUUUUCGCAGAAAAAUGAGCGGAUUUGAGGUGUUUUAGGAUUGCGUGAGUGCGUUAGCACGGAGCAAUCCGUGU